UCCCCUUUUCCGGCAGCCUAGAAUCUUACACUUGCUCUCUGUAUUGCAGCCUCCGCCAGCGCUAACGUCAUCUGCCUGUGCUUCCUACAUCUUCAGGUCUUCGAACUUCAUUUCCCAGAAUUCCUAGCCCUACUCCCAGCCGGCCGAGGCUUCUGGGAGUUGAAGUUCCAAACACCUGGAAGACCAACGUUAGAGAACACAAAAAAAUCGGACCGGGCAGCCUUUCGAACGUUGUGGCACUUCAACUCCCAGCAUUCUCCUCAAGAGCAUGGCUGGGAGUUGUAGUUCAAUAGCAUCAAGUGGCUCCGAAACCUUUUUUAAAGUCGGAGAGUCUCGGGAAGAGGCAGAAUGUCAUAGAAUCCCACGGGAAGCAACGGUUUGAGACAGCGGGUCUGAUGGCUUUAGAUGCAGAACUAUUGCAUCCCAUGGAAAUCAAUGAUUUAAAGCAGCAUCCUUGUCUCAAGGGUCCAAUGAAUUUAGAUCAGGCAUAGGAGGCUGUUAGGAAUUGAAGUCCAAAACACCUGGAGGGCCGAAGUUUGCCCAUGCCUGGUUUAGAUGCAGAACUACUGGAUCCCACGGAAAACAACAGUUUAAGACAGCAUCCCUGUCUCAAGGGUCCGUUUCUUUAGCUGCAGAACUAUUGCAUCCCAUGGAAAGGGAUUCUGGCAGAUUUGCAUGAAGAAAAAUAGCUGGUGGUGGAGACUUAUUGUCUAUGUGUGAUGAGGAAAAUAGCAGGCACCUAUGAGGAAGUACUAAAAGUGAUGAGAGGACAAGGAAUGAAAAUGAGUGAGGGAAGACUGGAAGGUAUGAUCACCUCCCGAUUCCUGCCCUUUGUCUCACAGAAGGUUAAACAUACCCAGUUCUUUCAGACGCUCCUCAUAGAAUAGAGAGACAGCAUGACUUCACUUGAUCUAGACACUACUCUCCUUUAAAUGCAGCCCAAAAUCCCAUUGGCUUUUUUAGCUGCAGCAUCAUGUUGUGGAUAGACGUUAAGACCUUCUGGGGAGGCCCUGCUCUCGGUCCCGCCACUUUCACAGGUGCGGCUGUCAGAGAUGAGAGAGAGGGCCUUUACAGUUGUGGCGCCUCGACUGCAGUGAUGUGAGAUCAGCCUCCUCCCUCCUGGCAUUCAGAAAACAAAUAAAAUCCUGGCUUUGGAAACAGGCAUUCAGAGAAUAGACUAGUGACAAUGUAAUAGGCAGCUGCGAAUUAUGUGACUGUAACUGGAAUGGCUAAUGGACUCUGAUAAUGGAUUAUGUCAUUGUUUUAAUUGCUGUUUUAAAUCCUGUUUUAAUUGUAUUUAUAUGUUAUUGUUUUAUGUUUAUGAUUUAAAGUUUCAUGUAUUUUUGACAUAGCAUCAAAUUGUGCCAAGUUGUAAGUCGCUCUGAGCCCCCCUUGGGGUGCGAUAGGGCGGGAUAGGAAUACAGUAAAUAAAUAUAAUAAAUUGUUG